UAGCAAUACAGCUUGGUUGGAGUGGCGCAAGGGUGCGUAACACGUGGGUAAUCUGCCGUGAAGCCUGGGAUAACUCGCUGAAAGGCGAGCUAAUACCGGAUGUGACUGUCGGGGAGCAUUUUCUGACAUUCAAAGCUGGGGACCGCAAGGCCUGGCCCUUCACGAUGAGCCCGCGGCCUAUCAGCUAGUUGGUGAGGUAACGGCCCACCAAGGCUAAGACGGGUAGCUGGUCUGAGAGGACGACCAGCCACACUGGAACUGAGACACGGUCCAGACACCUACGGGUGGCAGCAGUCGAGAAUUUUUCACAAUGGGCGCAAGCCUGAUGGAGCGACGCCGCGUGGGGGAUGAAGGGUUUCGAUCCGUAAACCCCUGUCAUUUGCGAACAAUGGCUAUUCAAUAACACUGGAUGGCUUGAUAGUAGCGGAAGAGGAAGGGACGGCUAACUCUGUGCCAGCAGCCGCGGUAAUACAGAGGUCCCAAGCGUUGUUCGGAUUCACUGGGCGUAAAGGGUGCGUAGGUGGUUGGGAAAGUUUGAUGUGAAAGCUCGGAGCUUAACUCCGAAAUGGCAUUGAAUACUUCUUAACUUGAGGGUCGGAGGGGAGACUGGAAUUCUCGGUGUAGC
rnacentral:rRNA from 1 species